CAGCCGCCGCGGUAAUACGUAGGUGGCAAGCGUUGUCCGGAUUUAUUGGGCGUAAAGCGAGCGCAGGCGGUUAGAUAAGUCUGAAGUUAAAGGCUGUGGCUUAACCACAGUACGCUUUGGAAACUGUUUAACUUGAGUGCAGAAGGGGAGUGUGGAAUUCCAUGUGUAGCGGUGAAAUGCGUAGAUAUAUGGAGGAACACCGGUGGCGAAAGCGGCUCUCUGGUCUGUCACUGACGCUGAGGCUCGAAAGCGUGGGUAGCGAACAGGAUUAGAUACCCCAGUAGUCCCUGUCUCUUAUACC
rnacentral:rRNA from 1 species